rnacentral:rRNA from 1 species
UACGUAGGGUGCAAGCGUUAAUCGGAAUUACUGGGCGUAAAGCGUGCGCAGGCGGUUGUGCAAGACAGGUGUGAAAUCCCCGGGCUUAACCUGGGAACUGCACUUGUGGCUGCACAGCUGGAGUGCGGCAGAGGGGGAUGGAAUUCCGCGUGUAGCAGUGAAAUGCGUAGAUAUGCGGAGGAACACCGAUAGCGAAGGCAAUCCCCUGGGCCUGCACUGACGCUCAUGCACGAAAGCGUGGGGAGCAAACAGG